rnacentral:rRNA from 1 species
GCUUAACGCGAAGAACCUUACCAGGCCUUGACAUGCAGAGAACUUUCCAGAGAUGGAUUGGUGCCUUCGGGAACUCUGACACAGGUGCUGCAUGGCUGUCGUCAGCUCGUGUCGUGAGAUGUUGGGUUAAGUCCCGUAACGAGCGCGAACCCUUGUCCUUAGUUACCAGCACGUUAUGGUGGGCACUCUAAGGAGACUGCCGGUGACAAACCGGAGGAAGGUGGGGAUGACGUCGAGUCAUCAUGGCCCUUAGGCCUGGGCUACACACGUGCUACAAUGGUCGGUACAGAGGGUUGCCAAGCCGCGAGGUGGAGCUAAUCUCACAAAACCGAUCGUAGUCCGGAUCGCAGUCUGCAACUCGACUGCGUGAAGUCGGAAUCGCUAGUAAUCGCG